rnacentral:rRNA from 1 species
UACGGGAGGCAGCAGUGGGGAAUAUUGCACAAUGGGCGCAAGCCUGAUGCAGCCAUGCCGCGUGUAUGAAAAAGGCCUUCGGGUUGUAAAGUACUUUCAGUCGUGAGGAAGGUGUUAAGGUUAAUAACCUUAGCAAUUGACGUUAGCGACAGAAGAAGCACCGGCUAACUCCGUGCCAGCAGCCGCGGUAAUACGGAGGGUGCGAGCGUUAAUCGGAAUUACUGGGCGUAAAGGGCACGCAGGCGGUUAAUUAAGUUGGAUGUGAAAUCCCCGGGCUUAACCUGGGAAUGGCAUUCAAGACUGGUUAGCUAGAGUCUUGUAGAGGGGGUUAGAAUUCCAUGUGUAGCGGUGAAAUGCGUAGAGAUGUGGAGGAAUACCGGUGGCGAAGGCGGCCCCUGGACAAAGACUGACGCUCAUGUGCGAAAGCGUGGGGAGCAAACGAGGGAUUAAAUACC